GACGUCUCAGGAAACAGACAAGUUAGAGGUGGAGGUAGAGGACGUUUCAGGAAACAGACAGGCUAGAGGUGGAGAUAGAGGAUGUUUCAGGAAACAGACAGGCUAGAGGUGGAGGUAGAGGACGUUUCAGGAAACAGACAGACUAGAGGUGGAGAUAGAGGACGUUUCAGGAAACAGACAGGCUAGAGGUGGAGGUGGAGAUAGAGGACGUUUCAGGAAACAGACAG